GAUGAACGCUGGCGGCGUGCCUAAUACAUGCAAGUCGAGCGAACAGACGAGGAGCUUGCUCCUCUGACGUUAGCGGCGGACGGGUGAGUAACACGUGGAUAACCUACCUAUAAGACUGGGAUAAAUUCGGGAAACCGGAGCUAAUACCGGAUAAUAUAUUGAACCGCAUGGUUCAAUAGUGAAAGACGGUUUUGCUGUCACUUAUAGAUGGAUCCGCGUCGCAUUAGCUAGUUGGUAAGGUAACGGCUUACCAAGGCAACGAUGCGUAGCCGACCUGAGAGGGUGAUCGGCCACACUGGAACUGAGACACGGUCCAGACUCCUACGGGAGGCAGCAGUAGGGAAUCUUCCGCAAUGGGCGAAAGCCUGACGGAGCAACGCCGCGUGAGUGAUGAAGGUCUUCGGAUCGUAAAACUCUGUUAUUAGGGAAGAACAAAUGUGUAAGUAACUAUGCACGUCUUGACGGUACCUAAUCAGAAAGCCACGGCUAACUACGUG
rnacentral:rRNA from 1 species